rnacentral:rRNA from 1 species
UACGGGGGGGGCAAGCGUUGUUCGGAAUUACUGGGCGUAAAGGGCGCGUAGGCGGGCUGACAAGUCUGGGGUGAAAUGCCGCGGCUCAACCGUGGAACUGCCUUAGAUACUGUCGGCCUCGAGGGAGGUAGGGGCGUGCGGAACUGUAGGUGGAGCGGUGAAAUGCGUUGAUAUCUACAGGAACUCCGGUGGCGAAAGCGGCGCGCUGGACCUCUUCUGACGCUGAGGCGCGAAAGCUAGGGGAGCAAACGGG